rnacentral:misc_RNA from 1 species
ACGUGAAGAUGAAGGCGAUGGGCCGUUUCUUUGAAGAUGGCGACAAGGUGAAGGUGACGCUGAAGUUCCGUGGCCGUGAAAUGGCUCACCAGGAACUGGGCAUGAAGCUUCUUCUUCAGGUGAAGGAAGACACUCAGGCGAUUGCCAAGGUGGAGGCCGAGCCGAAGCUUGAAGGCCGUCAGAUGAUGAUGGUUCUCGCGCCGAAAUAACUUAUACCGCCACAGAACUGGCGUAAUGAGCCGCACGGGGAAGUUCGCUUUCCCCGUUGCGCUUUUAACCGACUGCGGUUAUAAGCGCG